rnacentral:rRNA from 1 species
UAGGGAAUCUUCGGCAAUGGGGGGACCCCUGACCGAGCACCGCCGCGGGGGGGAAGAGGGUUUCGGGAUGGUAAAGCUCUUUUGUUAAGGAAGAACGAGUGGGAGAAUGGAAAUUUCAUACUGUGACGGUACUUAACCAGAAAGGGACGGCUAAUUACGUGCCAGCAGCCGCGGUAAUACGUAGGUCCCGAGCGUUGUCCGGAUUUAUUGGGCGUAAAGCGAGCGCAGGCGGUUAGAUAAGUCUGAAGUUAAAGGCAGUGGCUCAACCAUUGUAGGCUUUGGAAACUGUUUAACUUGAGUGCAGAAGGGGAGAGUGGAAUUCCAUGUGUAGCGGUGAAAUGCGUAGAUAUAUGGAGGAACACCGGUGGCGAAAGCGGCUCUCUGGUCUGUAACUGACGCUGAGGCUCGAAAGCGUGGGGAGCGAACAGG